rnacentral:lncRNA from 1 species
UGGCUGAAAGGAAAGAACAGAUCCGAAAAGAGGAAGAGGAAAAACUUGAGCAAAAAAUCGCCCUCCGGAUCCAACUCGAAGAGGAGAAGUUGACAAAAGGAUCCCGGUCCAAGCGAUACCGGAAGGAAACAACACCCGAACUCAUCUCUGAUGACGAGGAUGAGAGACCGGGGCAAACCAACCUCAGAGACAUGAUCAAUGAGCUCAACAGGAAAAUUGGGAAUG